CAGACAGUGACAUCAUCAGAUGGUGCAGGCAAGGGCCACGUGGAAGACCGACAAAGAAAGACUGAACAAGUAUAUUUGCUGUGUGCACAAAAAAGAUUUCUAGGUGGCUUUGCGUUCUUUUCUUUCGAGAUGGUGCUGACACAAGCGUGUUACGCUGCGGUGGACUUUUCAGCGAGCCGAUGCCCUCCAGGCUUCCUCCGAGGAACUCAUCCCGAGCGACAUGGAGAAGGUUGCAUAGUCCACUUGUGAACACCAGGGUUUCCAUCCAUAAAAGAGAAGCCAGAGGUGGGGAGAGGUGAGUUGCCAGCUGCCGUCCUGUAGCAGCUCUGUACCGGCAUGGGUCUGACCUGUGUGUCCCACUUGUGUGAGCCUUGCUGCUAGCAGCUCAGCAUGCACCUGGCCAGAAAUUUAUCCAGGCCUCUCUACUGGAUCAUCAUCCCUGGAAAUUAGCAGUACAGCAGCUUGAAAUGUUGCAUGCUCUGCACUAGGGACUGGAGUUGGGUUAGGAACCUUCCUUCACUGCAAGGCCAUGAUUGAGUAAGGGGAGGAUUCAGUUGUCCACCAUGAAUACAGGCUGGGGGAGUUUCAGAGAUGUUGAGGUUCUGAUAAAGCAUAAGCAUGGGUCUAGGGCCUCUGUCUGAAUGGCUUUUUAUUUCUGGAGUGAAAUAAUUUUGGGGAUGGGAAAUAAUUCAUACAGCAUAACAUGUUCAACAUUUUCC
rnacentral:lncRNA from 1 species